rnacentral:rRNA from 1 species
CUCGUGAAUUCAUCUCCGGGGGUAGAGCACUGUUUCGGCUAGGGGGCCAUCCCGGCUUACCAACCCGAUGCAAACUGCGAAUACCGGAGAAUGUUAUCACGGGAGACACACGGCGGGUGCUAACGUCCGUCGUGAAGAGGGAAACAACCCAGACCGCCAGCUAAGGUCCCAAAGUCAUGGUUAAGUGGGAAACGAUGUGGGAAGGCCCAGACAGCCAGGAUGUUGGCUUAGAAGCAGCCAUCAUUUAAAGAAAGCGUAAUAGCUCACUGGUCGAGUCGGCCUGCGCGGAAGAUGUAACGGGGCUAAACCAUGCACCGAAGCUGCGGCAGCGACACUGUGUGUUGUUGGGUA